UUUUCCUCUCUCUAGUCGUUUGAGUGCAAAUAAAUAAAGAUUCGUGGAAAGGCAAAGAAAGGAGGUGGUCCGACGAGAAAGCCGGUGUUACUUUCCGUUAAAGCAGAUCUGAAGUUUGCCGAGAUUAGGUUUAUUUCUUACUAGAGGAAAUUAAUUGGAAUGAGCAGUAUCGGUAAAGAGGGAAAUACAGUUUCCGUGACUGCAUGUCAGAUUCCAGAGAGCAGGGGAAUCUCCCAGGAAUAGUCAAAGAAGUCUUACUCACAUUCAUAUUUUAGGGAGCACUAGGUAAAGUUUUCAAGCUAGAGUAAAACUGUAAGAGGCAGAUGGAUCCAGUCUCUCUCUAAUUCAUAUAUAAUUGAAGAAGAAGUAAAUUUCUUGAGGAAAUCAUGGAGGGAUACCAUGACUCUGCCGAAUGGCGCUGAUCGAAGCAGAGAUGACUCUCACGUGAAGAAGAGUGUACUUGAUCAACGUGUCAAUAGAGAGGAGGAAUCAAAAAUGUACUUUGUUCUUAAAUCCCUCCUCCCCAAUCCCAACCCUAAGCAACGAAGGAGAAGACUCUUACGAAUACAAUUGAAUUUAUUGGACAACUUGAGAAAGACAGAGAGAGGCUGGAGGGGCUGAAGAAGCAGGCGUCGUCAUCUGGGGCUGGGAAUUUCUUUGUCCACAUUUCCUUCUCCAAUGGAAUUGUGUUGUUCGAGAUCAAAUCGUUGAAGUAUUUGAGAUGCAUGGGGCUGAGGCCUUGUCGGCGAAUGUGGUCGUGUAUGGGGACCUGAGGUUGACGGUCCCGGCGUUGGUCACUGGCGGCGAUGCGGAGAAGAUCAAGCAAGUGAUUUUAGGAUUAUAGACAACUGUUUGGAUUGUUAAUUUUCAUGUAGUUACAAAGAUGAAAAGGCGAAAAAAAAAAACAUGUUGAUAUUACUCUAAUUUCAUAAAAUGUGUUUUGACUUGGGGCACAGAAUUUUCUAUUGUUGUUUUCACCCGUUUCCUCUAUAUAUAGACUAAUUAGGGUUUGAUACCUUUUUGAAAUAAUAACGGUUGGGCAAUUCACUAGUUGACUAACUUAUGUUAAGUACAUAAUUGUUGAUUUCUUUUACUGGCAAAAAAAAAAAAAAAAAAAAAAAAAAAAAAAAAA